ACGCUCGACACCUACGGAGGCAGCAGUGGGGAAUAUUGCACAAUGGGGGAAACCCUGAUGCAGCGACGCCGCGUGAGCGAAGAAGUAUUUCGGUAUGUAAAGCUCUAUCAGCAGGGAAGAAACUGACGGUACCUGACUAAGAAGCACCGGCUAAAUACGUGCAAGCAGCCGCGGUAAUCUGAGCGGGCUGGCAAGGC
rnacentral:rRNA from 1 species